UACGUAGGGGGCAAGCGUUGUCCGGAAUCAUUGGGCGUAAAGGGUGCGUAGGUGGCUUGUUAAGUUGAAGGUGAAAUCUCGGAGCUCAACUCCGAAACUGCCUUCAAUACUGGCGAGCUCGAGGAUUGUAGAGGAGAAUGGAAUUCACGGUGUAGCAGUGAAAUGCGUAGAUAUCGUGAGGAAGACCAGUGGCGAAGGCGAUUCUCUGGGCAAUUCCUGACACUGAGGCACGAAGGCCAGGGGAGCAAACGGG
rnacentral:rRNA from 1 species